rnacentral:rRNA from 1 species
UACGGGCGCGCUCCUCGAUGCGUGUCUAUCGUUAACGCGAUCAGACGCGCACGGGACGCGUCCGUCGACGUCCGUCGACGGCGUGCACUUCUCUCUUAGUAAUGCAUCGCGACCCGUUCGCGGUCGGCCUAAGCGCCGUCCGGGAGUCCGGUGGCGGGCGUUUCGGCGUUCGCCUCCGUACCGUGACCGGUUGCCGGCCGGCCGUUUAUAUUAAAUACGGACGGUAUAAUGGAUGGAUAUUGAAUACGCUCUCAGAGCGAAUCGCGCACGCGUUUUAAAGCGCGUCCGGCCCGACGCAAGCUUACGUCUCGGUCGAUGUCCUGCCAUUGUGCGGACGUCGGCCCGGCGUUGCUGGCACUGUCGCAGCCGUGUAGUCUCGGACUGUGCGCGUCUCCGUCUGCGAUGAUUCUGUUUCGGGCACUCGCAGGACCCGUCUUGAAACACGGACCAAGGAGUCUAGCAUGUGUGCGAGUCAUUGAGUAUAAAAUCAAUUGACAAAACUGAAAGGCGCAACGAAAGUGAAGGCGCGCGCUAGCCGCGCGCUCAGGGAGGAUGGAGCUUCGGUCUCGAUCGAUCUCUCGCACUCCCGAGGCGUCUCGUUUCCAAUCUGUGAAUGCAGGCGCGCUCUGAGCACAGAUGCUGGGACCCGAAAGAUGGUGAACUAUGCCUGGUCAGGUCGAAGUCAGGGGAAACCCUGAUGGAGGACCGUAGCGAUUCUGACGUGCAAAUCGAUCGU